rnacentral:rRNA from 1 species
UGGGGAAUUUUGGACAAUGGACGCAAGUCUGAUCCAGCCAUGCCGCGUGCGGGAAGAAGGCCUUCGGGUUGUAAACCGCUUUUGUCAGGGAAGAAACGAGUUUCUCUAAUACAGAGACUUAAUGACGGUACCUGAAGAAUAAGCACCGGCUAACUACGUGCCAGCAGCCGCGGUAAUACGUAGGGUGCAAGCGUUAAUCGGAAUUACUGGGCGUAAAGCGUGCGCAGGCGGUUAUAUAAGACAGAUGUGAAAUCCCCGGGCUCAACCUGGGACCUGCAUUUGUGACUGUAUAGCUAGAGUACGGCAGAGGGGGAUGGAAUUCCGCGUGUAGCAGUGAAAUGCGUAGAUAUGCGGAGGAACACCGAUGGCGAAGGCAAUCCCCUGGACCUGUACUGACGCUCAUGCACUAAAGCGUGGGGAGCAAACA